UGGGGAAUAUUGCACAAUGGGGGAAACCCUGAUGCAGCAACGCCGCGUGAGUGAUGACGGCCUUCGGGUUGUAAAGCUCUGUCUUCAGGGACGAUAAUGACGGUACCUGCGGAGGAAGCCACGGCUAACUACGUGCCAGCAGCCGCGGUAAUACGUAGGUGGCAAGCGUUGUCCGGAUUUACUGGGCGUAAAGGGAGCGUAGGCGGACUUUUAAGUGAGAUGUGAAAUACCCGGGCUCAACCUGGGUGCUGCAUUUCAAACUGGAAGUCUAGAGUGCAGGAGAGNGGAGUGGAAUUCCUAGUGUAGCGGUGAAAUGCGUAGAGAUUAGGAAGAACACCAGUGGCGAAGGCGACGCUCUGGACUGUAACUGACGCUGAGGCUCGAAAGCGUGGGGAGCAAACA
rnacentral:rRNA from 1 species